rnacentral:rRNA from 1 species
CUCGGCCGCGUUUGCACUCCCACUACCAUCGCGAAUCUUACCCGUACGGUUGCCUCGGCGCUGGCGGUCCGGAAGGCCCUCGGGCCCCCGGAUCCUCGGGUCUCCCGCUCGCGGGAGGCUGCCCGCCGGAGUGCCGAAACCAAACUCUUGAUAUUUUAUGUCUCUCUGAGUAAACUUUUAAAUAAGUCAAAACUUUCAACAACGGAUCUCUUGGUUCUGGCAUCGAUGAAGAACGCAGCGAAAUGCGAUAAGUAAUGUGAAUUGCAGAAUUCAGUGAAUCAUCGAAUCUUUGAACGCACAUUGCGCUCGCCAGUAUUCUGGCGAGCAUGCCUGUUCGAGCGUCAUUUCAACCAUCAAGCUCUGCUUGCGUUGGGGAUCCGCGGCUGCCCGCGGUCCCUCAAAAACAGUGGCGGGCUCGCUAGUCACACCGAGCGUAGUAACUCUACAUCGUUCUGGUCGUGCGGCGGGUUCUUGCCGUAAAACCCCCCAAUUUCUAAGGUUGACCUCGGAUCAGGUAGGAAUACCCGCUGAACUUAAGCAUAUCAAUAAGCGGAGGAA